CAAAGUCUGGGGGGCAAUUGGACUGCUGCAUCACAUUGAAACGUAUCAUGUUUUUCUACCUACCGCUCCUCCUACAGCAUCACCGGUGAAUCAUCAAUCAUCUUCAAAGGCACCACACACAUCCACACCACAGGCACCACACACAUCCACAUCUCAGGCACCACACACAUCCACACCACAGGCACCACACACAUCCACAUCUCAGGCACCACACACAUACACACCACAGGCACCACACACAUACACACCACAGGCACCACACACAUACACACCACAGGCACCACACACAUACACACCACAGGCACCACACACAUACACACCACAGGCACCACACACAUCCACAUCUCAGGCACCACACACAUACACACCACAGGCACCACACACAUCCACAUCACAGGCACAACACACAUACACACCACAGGCACCACACACAUCACAGGCACCCCAAAGAUGCAUUGCUCUGAGGCCUCCUGAAGUGGAUUGGGUGAGUUUUCUUCCCAAGCAGUUCGGGAAACUUAUAAAGCCAGCAGACCAGGAGUGGAUCUCCCAGUGUUUAUAUGAGCGCACUGGACAGCUCAGGCAAGAUCUCGCCCAGAACUGGUUCCAUCCACCAAGCCCAUGUAAGCCCACAACAUCACCUCCCAAUCCACACAGCUAUUUCAGGCAGCG
ensembl:lncRNA